GCCUGGGUGGCUCGGUCAGUUGAGUGCCUGACUUGAGUUCAGGUCAUCAUCUCACAGUUUGUGGGUUCAAGCCCCACAUCAGGCU
rnacentral:tRNA from 1 species